rnacentral:lncRNA from 1 species
AAGGGAGUCCUGCUGCUUUUUUUCUCAGCCUGUGACUGUUUAUAAUUCCCCUCUUCAUCUUUACUUUUUCCUCAUGGUGCAGAAGUUGGAAAUGAUAUAUGUUGCUAGCUUAGAGAAAGUAGAGAUGAGACUGAAAAGAGCAGAGUGAACAAGGGAACCAAGUUUCGUUUGGUGCACUGGGAUCUGAUAUAUAAGAAGCUGUGAACUCCUGUAACAGAAGCUCAAAUUUUCUUACUUUGUUGUGGUGUCAUUUUCCAGGGUGGUAGGGCUGAAAGCAACAGGAUCAAACAUCUCAAGCCUGCUGCUAGAUGUUGUGGUCUGACAAACUACAUGGCUUCCGUUAUCAAAACAGAGGGAACUUUUGCCACUCACCUAUGAGCAAUCAGAAUGAAGCCAAAAGUACUCACUAUUGGCCAAAAUAAGAGAGAGUUUGUCAUCUUUCAGGUAAGAGAAAACACUAAACUUUUCACCUUUUAUUUUGAAAUUUCCUAGGUU